rnacentral:rRNA from 1 species
AGCCUAACACAUGCAAGUCGAACGGCAGCACAGGAGAGCUUGCUCUCUGGGUGGCGAGUGGCGGACGGGUGAGGAAUACAUCGGAAUCUACUUUUUCGUGGGGGAUAACGUAGGGAAACUUACGCUAAUACCGCAUACGACCUACGGGUGAAAGCAGGGGAUCUUCGGACCUUGCGCGAUUGAAUGAGCCGAUGUCGGAUUAGCUAGUUGGCGGGGUAAAGGCCCACCAAUGGCGACGAUCCGUAGCUGGUCUGAGA